AUGUUCACCGAGAAACAAGUGGAAGUGUUGAAUAUCUUGUUUAAUAAGAACCCAUACCAAAACCCAAGCCUUCAGAAAUAAACAGCUUCAAAAAUGGUCAUACAUCCAACGGCACUGCAGGUUUGGUUCAAGAAUUACGGAGUAAAACUCAAGAAUGCAAUCUGUGAGCACAUUCAGGAAACACAAGAGGCUUAACAACAGCAAUUACCAGGGGGAGGCAUCAAGACCAGUCCUUCCAAGGGAAACAUGGUAAUACGACCCGGAUCUCCUAAUGAUGACUAUUCUAUAUCCCUCAUAUAUAGAGAUCUUUUGAUACUGUCACUGCAACUCAGCAUAUGUCUCAGUUUGAAGGUUCCCACAGAUCACUCUGUUGAUCUCAAAAUAGUCCACUUUGGCUGCUGCCAAGAUCCUAACCUACACUGCCUCUAUCCCAUUUUGGAAUCCCAAGUUCUUUCCCCAAGUUUCA
rnacentral:lncRNA from 1 species